CCACAUCUACCAGCUCUGACUGGGGGAUCCCAAGGCGUAUAAUUGCCUUUAACACACCCGUUAAAGACAAUUAUACUUUAGAGCAAGACUGUUUCAUCUUUGAAACAAAUGCACCAGGGACCCAUUAAGUAGUCAGUUAAGUUUUAGCAUGGUUUAGCAUUAAUUCCAAUAAUUUGGAUGUUGGCUGUUGCCUGUGUUUUCAUUCCAUGUUUUAUCAGAUUCGCAUGAACACUAGAGCUCUGACACAUAUAAUAAUAACCCAUAGUUAAGGUCCUUAUGCCUGUUCAACAGAGAAUGGCCUGCUGGAACAUUAAUAAGGUUUGUUUUUUAGGCCCAUGGUCGAGAAUUGCAUAGCCAUGAAAAAAGAGUAUAUCUCUGCAACCAUGAGGUCUAUUUGAAUAAUCUGGAUGGCAUAAGAAAGGGAACCCUUGUGAGGUUUUAUUCAAAUGUUUAAAUAUCUGGGUUUAUAUAGCAGGUUAUGACAAAAUGAAGAUGAGACACUGCAGUGAAUAAAAAGCACUUUCCGGAUUAUUAUCCCUUCUGGAUUUUUAGGUCUAAACCGCUAACAGAAUAUUACAAAUGUCUUUUUUAUUUCACUUGUAUAUCACUAAUAGUGUUCAAUACAUCUCACACAUUGGUGUUUUUUUUAAUAACCCAGGCUUGUAUGUGUACAAGUAUUUUACCAUUAUCCAAAAUGAAUAAAACAUCCAAUAAAGUCUACACAAAGUGGCCUCUGAUUACACGCGGCUCUUUAUUAGCAACUGAUUGGCAGAUUAGCGUCAUUGGAAGCGUCAGAGCCUACAGAAUUGAGCCAAUUCCAGGAGAUUGACAGCACUGUUAUCCAAACAGAAUGGGGAAGGAUCGGGCUGGUGGACGAGAGGCAGACGCGUGACCUUUGAACCUCCCACCAAAGAGCAAAAGCAACGGCAAGUGACGUUUCCAACCAUCUCCAAAUGAUUUCUGUUGUUGAUCCUUUACCACUGAGCGUUUUGCUUCAUAUGUAUCGAAUCCGCAGACUUUCUACAGAGAUGUUCUGUUGUUAUUCCAAUUGUUCUGUUGUGCAACAUCAAAUAAAACUUUAGGAUAAGUGAGUUGAAAAAGACGGUUAAAGUGAAAGUUUCCUCCCUUGCCCCCAAUUAGGGGGCCGUUGGGCUUAAAUGGCGACACACUUCAUUCUUGUAAAUAAAACGGGGUCACUGAUGGUCAUUCUUUUGUUUCUUUCCUUUGCUGAUGACACUCAUUCACCUUCGCUCCUACCAGGUACAUCAAAAAUGAAUAAAUACGCAAAACAUCUGCGUAACAGUGGAUCCAUUUAUCUUCCAGCACUGCUUAACCGGCAUUGUUGUGCUACGGUGAAGCAGACACAAUUCACCGCUAAUGAAAUGAUUCACCUGUGACUCCUAAAAACUUUAAUUAAACAUCUGAGAGAUGAUUUUAAACAAACAUCAGCAGGCCGUGCACCCCCCAGGAGCAGGAAUCUCCAAACCAAUGAACCACAACACUUCAAUAAGAAAAUAAUGAGCAUGCCUUUCAGUCUGUUUUUAAAUUUCUGUGACAUUUUGAAUUUGUAACAACAGAGUCUGUAGCAAAUGAAUGUCAAUGACUGCUGGGCCUGAUAUGAAUAUUCCCAUAACCAUGUUUAAUAAAAUGAACUUCACUGUACUCCCUCUUUCUGCCAGAGGGGAGAAACGAAACGUACAGCUCUACAGCACAAUCCCAGUAGAGAAAAUAUGAAUAGGUUUGUUUUUAAUUUGCAUGUGAUCAUAAGGGUUAUUGUGAGAGCAGAGUCAUGGCACCCAUUUCAUAUUUCCCAUGUCACACCCAGCGACCAACAGCAGACAUUGAGUGUUUGUUCCUCUACCUGACAAUACCGAUAUAUUCCUGAAUUUUAUUUAUUUAUUUGUUAAUAAUGACUAUUUCAAAUGCAAUAGGUCAAGUUUCCAUUCGACGUAGAAGCGUUUAUCACAUUUUAAGUGGAGAGUAGGAUUGUAGUUUAUUCACAGGAUUGGCGGUUUGAUCCCCGACUGUUCUUGUCGAUGUGUCCUCGAGCAACACGGUUAACGAGACUACGGCAUAUGAAUUUUUCCACCUGAUAGAGGCCCCACGUAUAGAUGUACAGUAGCUCCUGUGUGAACGGGUGAUCAACGCCAUUUGGUUUGAGUCCUUGGAAGAAUACAAAAGUGAUAUUACAAGUGCAGUCCACGGGGCACUUAACUGAGCAAUAAAAAAAGGAUUUUGAUAAAUCCCUGCAAUUUUUCCGCCACCAAGUACUUACUUCCAGUAAAAUGACUAUUGAAUGUUACAGUUUAGAAGAAUUCAAGCUGAAUGUGUGGGUGUUUUUUAGGACAUAAAUUAUACUACAAUGGAGUUAAAAUCUUCCAUUACAAUAUAUGUGAAUAAAGUUGCGCCUCGCAGCCCACCUCCAGUAUCGGUGCUUUAUCAGAUGCAGAUAGUGUGUGACAGUGAGGCCGCUCUCGACGGGCUGUUUAUUGCUCUGAAGAGAAGGGAUGGGACUCGGGGGGGCCGUGCUAUUGUCAUUUCAUUUGGAGCACGGGGGGCCGUGGAGAGACGAGCGUUGCACGGCCGAUCUAGUGGGCUGACAGCAGCUCUGCGGUAGUGAAUGGAGUCGGCGGCAGUUGUAGUUCUGUCUGUUCCACCCCCCCCCCCCUUCUUCCUCCAUCUUUAUGUUGGUAUCUCUGUCUUAUUUACCAGGUGGCAAAACACAUUCAUCGCCUCGCCGCCACGACGCAUCAUACCGGCUAUUUAAGCCUUGUUUGUGUGAGUCUUGGUCUCCAGGAUUAUUGAAACUUUUUUCAUUCAUUUUAUUUCUUUAGAAGUUAUGGAAUAACUGCAAAGCGUAGUAAAAAAAAAAGUGAAUUUUGAGAUUUGCCCCCAAAAAUGUCACUAACAGCCCUUUAAACCCCAUAAAACAUUGAACUAUCCGGCUACAUGUGUACUGUCCACACAGGACUAUCCCAUAGAGGUGGUUGUAAAGUUUCAUGAACCACUCUAGAGACGGCUCUUGUGAAGGCGUCACAUGGGACCAACGGCUCCCGUCUCCAUAGCCUGGCUGAUGACCUGAGCUGACUUCUUGUGGUUCCGAUGAUUGGCAGCCCUUGCUAAGGGGACCUGUCAGUCGUAUGAUCUGUGGGGGGGACAAGCACACAAAUGGUUAUACUGCAGCUAAGAAAUUAAAUAGCUAUUAUUACUUAGUCCAUCCCGUGUGAUCAGUACAAGCAGUGCAAAUCACUGACAGCUCAGAGCAGAAUGCUUGGUUUAUUUAGUCUAAACCUGUGGUGGGAAUGAUGGUGGUGAUGGGAAGGGAGCUGGGUGACAGGCAAGAGGAUCCUUGGAGGAAGACAGAGGAUCUGAGGCUCGGAUGAACAAAGACGAGACAAAGUCACAGGUAAACAUGAAAGUGGAGACUCGUGCCGCAGCAUCCGAGCUGUACGAGUGGGUGAGCAGCCGGGUUUAAAUAGUGAGAUGUGUGAUGGGAAACUGGAGACAGGUGUUGGGAAAAACUGGCAGUAAAAUUGAACAAAGUUAGGAAGUAAAGUGUGGAUCUACAAGAUAAAAGUUAACAUUGUGACAUUCAACAUCAUUCAAAACAUCUUUAUUUUUGUAGCUUUCUAUCUAAAUGUUGAGCAAAUCACGCAUAUCAGCAAGUCAGCAGAAGAGAACUCGUAUUUCUAUCAACUGGUGUCAUAUGAAUGUCCUCAAGCUCUCAACAAGAUGAUAUAAUGAAAUGAACGCAUGAAGCUCCUAAAUGUGUGUAUGUCUUUGACAUCCUUCAGCAUCACUACUGUAGCAUUUAUAUUAUUAAAUAUAAGUUUAUUUCCCUUCACACUGUGCAGAGUUUUACUGGCGUAGGUGGAGAAUAGUUUGCUACUGAGCUUCUGUGCUAUUGGAAAAUCAAAAAGACAACUUUCCUCUCGGUGUCUAGCCUGUUUUUUGGCCUCAUAUCCUUGAUGAAAACAUGAUAACUACUUUGUCUAUCUGGAAAAUGUUAUUCUGCUAGGAUAAAGUGAACCCCUAUGAUAUGUUACUGGUGAACAAAUAAAUCAAUAUAACUCGCUGGAUCCCUAUAACCUCCACUGAAAACAGGGAGAAUGUUUUGAGAGAUGCACAAGAUGGAUGCUGGUGAUAUUUCUGUCAAAAAAACAUCAAAUUACUCACGUUGAAACUCCAAAGGUAAGAAGGAUUUUGGUUGAUAUAAUUCAGGUGCUUGGUGUUUGGUUUCCAAUAAACUUGGGAAGGUUUUUCUGAGAGAAAUGUUAGAUAUCACGCGAUUCAGCAUUGAAUGCGUUAUUGAUUUUCUGCCUCGUCUUCCGUGUUAGUUUUUAGCUUCGAUCGAUUGUUCAACUUUUGUACGGCUGUGUGUAAAUGAUGUGAAGGAAUUAUCAUGAGAUACUUUCUAACUCUGCUCGAGUUGUUUGGAGCAUAUUCAAACAGCUUAGAUAUCCUUGUAGCUCAAACUUGGAUCUUUCCAUUCAGCCAUUAUUACAUCUAUAUAUAAUUAUGUACGUCUUCUUCAAGGUAUGUGGUGUAAUUAUCGCCUUGACUCAAUUCUGUGUCCAGAAUGGGGACAUUGACACCCAACGAGUAUUAAAUAUCAUUUUUCUCAGUCACACAUCUCUGUUAUGAAUUCAGGCAGUUUAGUUUCUUGCACCCAGUAAGUAGUUUUAGGUCAUUAUUGUGUUUGGCUCAUCAGAGAAAAAUCAACCUCAUGCCAAGAAAAGCCUCUGCCUUUAGUUUAAUCCAGAUUUGGCCACAUUUUUACUUUGUCCGCCGUUUGUCAAACGUCGUCACACAGAAAGACGCUUUGCACAUCAGUUAGCUGCUUGUGGCGCAGCUUUGAAAUGCAUUCCCUGUAAUCUCCCGUCAAACACUUUUUCCAAUCAAAUAAUUCACAGGCUGUGGAAUGUACUGAGCUCAUUCUGCAGACCAUAUGGAAAAGACAAUCUCGUUUGUUUUACUAUUUUUGCAUUUUCUCCACAUUUCACAGCCGUUUGUAACCCUCAGACUUGCGCUGUGUCAUCUCCUCAAACACUUGAUCUCACUCCUCUCAAUAUGCUAAUUUAAUUGUACUCACCCAGGACAUGUGGGUAAUUGCCCAAUGGAACCCCUCAAAGGAACCUUGUGACUUUCAAUCCAACCGCCACAGCUUGAACUAAAAUCUUUGUUGUCUGGGGAGCGUCAGUUUAGUUGUAUAUAGUUGAAAAUGUCAAGUGUUGAUUUACGCACCAUCAUUUGGGAUGCAGAUUUAUGUAUGAAACCUGAGCUGUCAUUGGCAUAUAACCCCUUCAUCACAGGAUGUAUUGUUUGUCUCUUUGAACCAUCUUGUCGUGAUAAAGAGGCGCCGUUCCCACUUAACAUUGUAGACAUGAACCCUGCAUACUGUGUCUAAAUGGAGUUCUGCUUCUUCUAAUUUCUCUGUUUUGUAGUUGAGAGGCACUAAUGUAACACCAUUUGUUAAAUGUCAUCUAUAAAAGAAUAACAUAAUUCAACAUAGUGUGUAUAUAUAUAUAUAUAAUCACAUAGAACCACCAUCCACAGAAGCCUGUGGGGAGGGAAAGCACAAAAACUUUAUCAAAGUAAUUUUAUGAUGAUCGUAAUAGUAAUGUGAUAAUUAUUUUUAAUAAUAAUAAUGAUGAUGAUGAUGAUGAUGAUGAUAGCAGCAGUCCGGUCCAAUUGAACAUGCCGUGUUACCUUAUCUGUCUUGUUGCCCAUUGUCUUACACCAUGUCAAAUUACUUGUAUGUCUAACGUUUUUCGGCAAUAAAUGUUUCCUGAUGUCUCUGUGGUGCAAAUGAUUUUUUGUGGCAAAAGAAGCAAGAGGGGGUGAAAAAUGGCUUCCAUCUGCGGUCUUAGCUGGUCAUGGGAGAUGAAUAUUACGCAACAGGAAAGUGAGAGGAUGGCCGAGAUGGUGAUGGAAAAGCCUCGGCUGACUACAGCUUCCUCACCACAUUCUUCACCAACAAUCCUUUAACCGACAUUAAACGUGGUGCACAACAAACAGUGACUUGGUGGAGCCGCCAGAUUGCGCUGCUGGUGUAGAGCAGCAGUCGGUUUGGCGGACCGCUCCCCGAGGUGUGGCGGAUAAACACGACGAAAAAAAAGAUGUGAUCGCCAUGAAAACAUACCUCCAUAUAACGCAGAAAAAUCCUCCAUUCUGUGUUUUAGAGACAGUGUUUGCUCCAAACUCUCAUAUUCCUAUUUAAAUAGGCGAACAUCUGGUGAAUGAAGGCCCUAGCAUAUGAUUCACAUGACUUUCUUACUCUUAGCUGCCUGACCUGUAAGGAAAUAUCUGCUUUUGUAAUAUCAUUUUUAUAUAAUUUAUUCAGAGUUUUCCUCUUACUUGUGACCUGCCUGUUGUUAUUGCAGCUCAACCUUAGCUGUGUAAAUAAGUACAAGAUAUGUAAACCACUUUUGCUCUUUUGUAUAUCGGAUAGUGAUGAGCUGUUUCAGAAUACAUGGUAUUUUUUAAUAAAGAUGCAUUAAUGAAAAGGAAUGAAUGAAAGUACAGAACCAGUUAAGCAGUUCACACACGUGCCUGGAAUGAAAUGAAUGAAAUGGCCCGACGUUUGACUUGUGACACACUCGCAGAGCUCAGUGUUUAUCUAGCUCCAUAAUUUGGACAAAGGUCCGGCAGUCAGAGCCAUUACCAUCCUAGACUAUCAAAUAUGAUUCAAGUCUUGUUCAAAUUCCUCUUUCUGAGAAAUAAAUUGUUGAACUCAUGAGAUCUCAACAGAGGCGAGUUGCAGUCACGUGAAAUAGAGGCUGCUCGUCGACUUUCCUUUUGAAACAAUUAUAUUGAUAAAUAAAGAUAAUCACCACCUCAAUCGCAAGUUGCAGAUUUUAUUUUUCUCCAGAAUGCUGUAGUGCGAAAACAGCUGUAAAAAGAAACAUGCUAUUAUAUUCUACAAUUUUUAUAUUCUUUCAACAGAAAGGACCUGAUCUGUCAUUCAUUCACUGUGUCAAUGGCCCUUUAUUGUCUCUAAAAUCUGCUUAGCUAUGUUGACAUUUUGGAGGAGAUUAUCACUUCUCUAAGUAUUUUUUAUAUCAUAAUGAAGGUUUCAAUAAUUAAGCUGAUUUAGGGGGAAUUCAUGUGAUACAACCACAGUAAAAGGAACCCACCUGGACUUUGUUACAGCACCACCUUUUUAGGUUCUCCUUUCAUCUCAAUCUCACACCGUCAGUGAAGCUCUACAAACCCUCUAACGUCACUGUUGAUCAGUUAUGAAUAUGCGUGUUCAAUGCAUUGUGUCCUUUCAAAAUAAACUUCCAUUUCUAUUUGUGUGAAUGCCAUUUUAAGAAACUUUAGGGACUUUCUUCUCUAAAUGUGGCUCAGACAGAUGUGCUGAUUCAAUUAUUGCUCUCUAAAGGUCAAGGUCACUCUGACCCAACAGCAGUCCUAUGUUCCUAAAUGUGAUAUCCCAAGAAGCUAAUUUCUUAAAAAAAGAGCGCAUCUCAGUCUCUGGCUCCGACAUAUUGGCUAAAGCUCAAACACACCAAUAUAAAUGCACAGGUGACACAUCAGUUUAAUGCAACAUAUUUCUCUGCUGCAGAACGGACGUGCCCGGGAACAGGAGCGAAUGCCCAGAGGACUCAUCUGCCAUCGUGUUCCAGAGAAAAACAGCUCUCCUGCUCAUGCACACAUUAACCGAGAAAAUGGAAAAAGGUACGACACUUUAAAUGGACAUUUUCCUUUGAAAUCUCUACCAGACGUCGUAGUCAAUAAAACCAGAGCUAUUUGUACCACUGCAAACCGGAAGUAUCUACAAGCCUGAAGUACCACUUAAAGGCAUUACACAACAUUGAUGACGGCCCACUACCCAACAACCAGUGGAGUGGGACUUCGGCAGGCUACGUGGGAUGAGCCUCCCCCAAUACACACCGCCGUAAGGAGGAUACACAAGUAUCCUCGAGCACCAACUGUUGCUCCCACUGAUGACACGCAGACUCACACAGCAGCAUGAUGAACGACAUCUGCAUCCUGUGAAAGGUGGUUUUCUCUUGCUGGUGAUAUUGUUCAGAGGAGGAGAGUCAAAAAAUAAUUUUGUCAUUACUUCUGGAAGCGGUUAUGGUAACAGAUUGAUAUAUUGUACUUGCUUUUGCUCGGACAGUGACUGUUAUAUUGUUCUGAUAACAUUACUUAAAAUAAAAGCGUGCCAUCCACUAGUCUGUAGUGUAUUGUUGGAUGUUGUGCAUAAUGCAAUCAAUCGCUGUUAAUCACAGCAAAUCAGGUGAUUAAUUGAGUUAAUUGAGAGAGAAAAUAAAAGGAGUCGUGGAAGUCACUCAUUGGUGGAUCCCAUCAAAUUAAGCCUACCUACCAGAACUAAACACCGUCAUAAUAAAAGGAAAUAGGAAACCUAGAACAACAUACUGUAGAAGGGAAGUUUUCAUUAUUAUCUUCUCUUUGUCGACUGGAACAGUAACCAAAAGAUAUUUAUUCUUCCUGUUGAUGGAUUUACAUCUCGUAGCUUUUCAAUCAUCUGUCUAUGUGUUGAAGCUGGAGUUUUAGGAAGGAGGAGACAAUUAUGUAAUUAUUUUCAAUGUGGCAUGAAGAGACUGAGAGAAAAGCAAUAUUUACUGAAAAAAAAGUGAGGGAGCCAUCCCUCUUCAACGGAAAAAAUCAAUGUCGCUCUUUAAUUAAAGAACUUCCUCCAAAUACACCCAUUGAUGUUGUGACAGUCCUUGUUUGAGAGCUCCACUGAGAAGCGCCACUGCAACUCCACACAAUGCAAACUAGUACGGUGAUAUGCAUAUGAAAUCCAUAUAUAAUAGGGAUUACUUCAAUUCAAUUCAUUUCAUUUUAUUUUGUACAGCCCAAAAUCGCAAAUUAUAAAUCAAAAGACAAAACCCUUCCAAGAGGGAAAAAAAGGGAAGAAACCUCAGUGAGAACGUCAGAGGAGGGAUUCGACUCCUGAUGGACAGACUGCAAUGGGUGCCAUGUGUACAGAAUGAACAAUGUAUAAUACAUGCAAUUCCUAUGACAGAACACACUUCUGGGUUUCUGCUGACUGAUUUUUUCUUAGAGUAUUUUACAGAACAAUGGAGGAAUUCCUCCUGUUAUUCUUCCUUUUUUUCUCCCUAUCAAAGUUUAGUUUUUUUCGAUGCCAACAGGAAGGUUUUGGAGCAGAGGAUGUCGCAUGUGUACGGACUGUAAAUCCCUCUAAGGGAAAACGGCGAAUUGUGAUUCAAAAUAAAUUGAAUUGAAUCAGCUGUUCUUAGAGCCACAUCACAGUAAAUGUUCAUGCAACGACCAGAAUGCUCUCAUUAUGAAUCAGUGAUUUGGGAAGUUUUUGUAGCAUUGGUGUACAAUGAAAUUCUGCCAGAGGAGCUUCAACAAAUGCUCAUGAAGAUCACGAUUAUGAAAGUAGCUAAUAAACUAAACUGUGAUUUCCAACACUGAACUUGAUUGAGUCGUUUAUUCUUAAGUGCAGCAGCUAAACCAGUUCACAAGAAUAGGAAAGUAUCUAUUAUGACUCAAUGGUAUCACAAUGCCCAUAAAUAAUGAACUAACUAUGGUAAUAAAUGAAUGCGUAAAUAAAUAUAAGUUCAGGUGAAAAAUACUCAAUUUAAUGUUUUAUGCUGAAAAAAAACGUCCUAAACUACUUUAUAGAAGCUCAUUUCUGGUCAAGAUGAAUAAAGGGACACUUUCCAAAAAUGGGCCUGCUUCACUAUGCCCUUGAAUGCAGAAGGUGAAUGUCAAGGGAAUAGAAUGGUGCAGCAUUUAAUAAGUGGGACAUUGUGUUACCACCCACACAAAGAACCCCAUCACCUUCUCAGAGUUUGAAUCAGCAGACUGUAAUGACGCACAAUUAGCUAUUUAAAGAGGCUUUGGGGAUUUGGAUUGAUGCCUUUAUUCCAUCAAUUUUGCAAUGAACAACAAAUGUACAGAAGUAAUUACAGCACUCAGAAGCUAUUAGGAGAUCAGUACCUGCUGUAAUUACCGCUUGGAUCUAUUGGAUAGAGCUUUUUCAAAAUUAAAUUUUGUUAGUUCCGUUGAGAAUGAUGUACUUUGUAACAGUUCUGGAAGUGUAACACAAGAAAUGUCAUGCACCAUAACUCAUUUUUGUCGCUGGAUAUUUAAAAAAAACUUACUUUCUUUACUUGAUUUAGUUUUGCAAUCUUUUUGUAAUCUAUAAAAGUUUCCAACAUUUUUUUACAGAGAAAACCCAAAAUGAGUAUUUUUCAUGGCUGAGUGAAACCAGUGAAAGUGGGUGUAGAAGCUUAACGGGGGGGUUCAGGAGGGCGAGACUUUGUUUCUAAGAAGCAGAAACAACAUUGUCAUGUUCUCACACCAGGUGAAACCUGAACUGAGAAGAACGUUUCUCUGCGCGUAACUGGUUUCAUCCCGAGGAAUCAUCAAGCUCCGGUCGCGGUGUUCUCUGUGAUGUAACCGUCUUAGAGGUUCUGGUGCUCUCUGCUGGAUUAACUUACUUACUGCAGGUCCACAAUAACUGAGUAUUUUGCAUUGGAUACUGAAAACACAUUUUAUGUACCUUUUUUGUAAAAAGGACCAGAUGAAUGAAUGCAUUCGUGUGUUGGCUGUUGGGAUUAAGAGAUAUAACGCCAAAUUGCUCCCCAAAGGCUUUGUUUAAACACUGAUGGUGAAUAUAUCCGUUAGUCCUGACGGGCCGGUGGUAAUUUGCAAUGCAGCCCAAGCCAUCAGUGUAAGAAAGAGUCAUCUAAUAUGCAAGUACAAGUCCAUUUAGCGUUGAGCUGGAGGUAACAGCUCAUCUUGUUCCUUUCACUUGCUUCUUGGUAUGUGGGCCCGGGGUCCACAGCAGCAGCUGGCCUUUGAAGAGAUUAAGGCUGAGCUCACUACACCGCCGGGUCUUGUCUGUUAAGACCCAAAUGCUGAAGCACUCGUUCAAUCCAUCUUCAUAUGGCAUGGAUGCUGCUCUUCUCCAGCGACGAGAUUAAACGGGCUGGAAGCCAGUGGCCAGUGGCCUAUGUUUCCUGAUUCCAGAUUCCUGAUGCCUCCGGAGCCCUGAGCGACACCGAGCAGCCGUACCCUAAAAUUGCAAAGGAAGCUUUAGCCGUAACAUUGGCCUCUGAAAGAUUUUAGUUGCAAAGGACUCCCACGCAGAGACAGAGACGUCUGGUACUGCAGCGUCUACGUAUGCGGCUCAUGAAGUUCUUACGGCAUCUCACACGUGCCAGGCCAGGAAGAAGAGGUCGACCUGUAUGUGGACACUGUGCUGGCAAGUCUGCCAGGUACAAGAAAAAGAAACGCAUCAGGAUAAAGACAACCCUCCACACAUUAAAAAGAAGAGCCUUCUUCCCCUACCUGCCUCUCUCAGGUGAGCUGGUGGCAAAGACUGGACACGACUGAUGGAGAACUGUGACGCUUGCAGACGUGACAGAACCAAGUUUAAAGAAAGGCUCCAACCCACUGAGUUCCCAGCAAGACCGUCGUACACCAUUAGUGUUCACAGACAUGUUCAUUGCUGCUGGAGCCAGCAGUGUUUCUGUGUCCACACUGAGAAGGGAAGACGUGCUAAAGAGUUUUAACAUAGAACCCAACAGGGGGGGGGGCAGACUUACACACAUACAACCCAGCAAAUGUUUGGACAUCGACCCAGCUGCUGGUACAGAGGCCACGGAUGACAUCAUACAAUUCAAAACCCACUUCCCCCACAUGUAUUAUCAUCAUAAAAAAAGAAUAAAUGAGAUGUGAUAAAUGCCAGUUACAACAACAUUCUCAAGCAAAAGGACCAGAUUCAACUUAUCUAAGAACAGUCAAGCCUUUCAAUGUCAGUGCUAAUGGCUGAUUGGAACAAAUGCUGCAAAUCUAUGGGUUUAAUGAAUAGCCAAGACAAAGGCCCUUAUACACGAAGACCCUUAUUGUGUAAACAGACCACUGAGAGGGGCUGUGGAUGUCUGUGCAGUGGGUGUGACCGUGAAUAGGAGACCAGGCGCAAGUUGGAGGAGCUUUUCAUUUCACAGUGACUGAAAAGACAAAACGUUUGUGCAAAUAGCCAGUGAGGCUGGCGUGACUUUUGUUUUAUUGCAUCCUUACUGACCCCCACAGGCAGUGCUUCACACUGGACGACUUAUACCAACAGGGUCACAAGGGAUCCUUAGUGCCUUCCCCGUACAGCUCACACAGAGGAGCUUGGCUGAAGAAGCCCACUCAUUGGGGUCACUACGUUAAAACAGUGGUACCUUGUGAAUGUGCUCGCCGAUGUCCAUGUGGCCGCAGCACAUGUUUCCUCCACAGGUACACCUCUCAGGGCUGCCCAAGAUGUUGAGACACUCCUUGUAGAGUGACCCUCCUUCACUCCCGACAGCAAAACGUUGCCCUGCAUGCAUAGAAUGGGCUUCACUAUUCAGUGGGAAAGGUGCUGCUGAUAGUUGAAGAUGGAGAGAGCUUUUUGCAUUGGAAGUAAAACAGAGCGCGAUGUCAAAAGGUCUUUUCCAGCCAGCUGCUGACUAUGGGAAUUGGAGAUUUCUUCCCCCGAUGCCCUGUUGGGUUGUAGUCCCUGCUGCAACCACUGGGAGGGGCUGUACCUCCCAUUGAUGAGCAACCUUCUCAUGACAUCACAUUGUCAGGCCUUGAUGUCAGCUGUGUUUUGCGCUUCAAUCUUCCAACAGCGAAACAUGCUACCUGAAAUAGAUUAUUGAUGGAUAACUUCAUGUCGCCUCCUGAUGAAAGAAACAUGAUUAAAAAAACAGAAAACAGAUAUGCAAAUGUGAAAACGCAUAUGCCCUGGAAGUAGCAAAUAGCUUUAGUAUUAUAUUUGAUUAAAUUUGUUUUCGAUUCAACAUGUAAUUAAGUAAAUAUUUGAACUGCUAUUGUUUAAAGGGAAUACUGCUAUUAAAAAGCCCCCUAUUUGUUUUGAGUGUGCACUCCUUUUGAGCCACUAGAGGGCAGACAUGGGCUACCAGUGAACAUUGCUUUACUGAGGUUAUUAUGUACAUUAAACAUUAAACGUUUUUAAACAGUCUAACAGACGGUCCUGCAAUUUAAUGAAGGAUAUAAUAUUCUGGAGGAUGUUGUUUGUGGCUCGGUUGAAUUGCAUUUAACGGAGCUGUGUUUCCAUUACCCCAUCUAUUAACAGGGUGAUAUUUAUAUAACAAUAUUUGCAAUAAUGAAAUCUAAUCAAAAGUUAUUAUGAUACAUGUAAAUACAGGAUGGUAGCGUCAUGAGAUUUUCCUCCUAUUUUAUGCUCUAUGACAUUUUCCGUAUUUAUGUAAAUCAAUGCAGCUAAUCUCUUAUUUUCUGCGGCCGGAUCUUUCUGGGCUUUUCUGGUUUGCCCAUGUUGCCUUUCUGCCCAGGGAGGGGUUCCUCAAGCCUUAUUGGCUCAUGCCUCCUCUGUCUCUGUCACUGCCAUGAAAAGGAGGACUUUAGCGGCACGGUGACGUCGCCCCCCCUCCACCAACUGAUUCUUGUCCUCUGCCUCUUUCAUCUCCUCCUCUCGCUGGCCGACUGCUGGUGGAUGGGUGGUCAUGUGAUGUUCUAAUACCCAGGGAUUUUGUUCCAAGCAUGCUCCGUAGGCUCCCUCCCUCCCUCCAUCCAACCAGCUGCUCGCUGCGCUCUCCUUCCUGGAGGAUCCAUUGUUGGAUGAUAGCGACAUUUAGCACUGCUCUGACUGAGUCCUGAUAUUGUGUUAGAGCACAGUCCUGUCUCACAUUGGUCAGUACGCAGACCUCGGAAUACAAAGACGACAACAGGGACGUGACAGCAUUUGUACAUGAGGCUGGUAAGUGACAUGCGCGUGUAUUGUGCUUGGCUCGCUGUUGAGCUUGAGGGAUUUAAUAAGGUCUCAAGGUUACUGUAGUGUGUCUGAACCGUUCCACUGGGAGCGAAAUAUAUUCUAAUAUGAACACAAAGCAUCGGUCCGGACUGGAAUAAAUUAUGUGUUCGGUGCGUCAACCCCCCUUCAGACUGCUUUCACAUUGGCAUGUGAGCUGGAAGCCUCUUUUCGGCAUCACUCUGUAGGACACACAAGACUCCAUCAUGAGCACGAGCACAGCGUGAACACACACAAGGUCUUAAGCAGCCACCGGGGGGGACAAGCCACCACCACCUGAGAUGGUCGCAUGCAUUUUUGUCACUUAGCGUCCAUGUGGCAACCAAAUUCUGGACCAGAUUGAUGAACCCACUGCAAGAUUUAUAUUGUCUUGAUUUAUAUUUUGUCAUACGGAAAAAAAAAAGACGAGGACAUCACGUGCUUCAGAGUAGGGACUGUAUUCUAUACACAAUAUACAGUACAUAUAUUGGACAAAGACCAAUUAACGGUUGUCACUCAGACAAUCAUCCAUACGUCAACUUGCUCCAAAAAAAAAGCGCUGCUGUAUUCACAUGGCUGCUUCUUUGUUGAUUAGAGUUACACUUGAAUGGGGUUGUCACAAGUAUGGCUCAGUAGUACCAGACAAAUGUCAAAACAUACCUUUCCCUUCAGCUGAAGGAGAAGGAGAGUCCUAACUGUUGACUGGUACUGCAGGUACAAGAACAUCCAUGUGGUGUGUCUGCAUGCCACUUAACAAGGUGCUAAGGCUGAAUGCCACAUGGCAGUGUUGAACUAAUCCCAGCCAAUUCCACCUCAAUCCCCCCAGUAGAGCUCAUCAGGAGAAAAGCAGGAUGAGACGGCUUUGAUGCUUCAACCUCACUCUGACAUCAGCAUGUGGACAUGCAUGCAGUGUGUGUGUGUGCGUUAACAAUAGGAGAAAUAUCCUGAUAUAGUUUGCUUAUGGACCUUGGUGUCUGUGUUUGCUGUACAUGCACACAGAUCAAAGUAUUAAGACAGAUUUUGGUUCUUAAUCCCUUUUAAAGUCUCUCACUAGGUGGGCAUUUGCCUCGGUAGCUAUUUGUUCUGAGAGGAGACUGAAGUGAGAAAUAUACACACAAACAUACACACUAGCUAAUAGAUGAUUUAUCUGUUGCCUGCUACACGCUACUAAUACUACCAAAGCUGUUUCUGACCAAACAAGUCACCUGUCUCUAGGUACACCAGUAAGAAACGUGUACUCAGAUCAAACCUCCAAAUGUCCUUUCUUUCAAAGAGCUGUCUAACAGCCAGAUACAGGUAUAGUUAAACUAUAAGAUAAACUCCACCCUACAGCACCCUUCUCUCACAUUAGUGUGCAGGUCGGAACCGAGUGGUCCACUUUCAAAACUUCCCUGCUGUAGCUGGGGCGGUGUCUUGUGGCCUCAAGGUCUUAGGUGGUCUUAUGGAGAGAAACAGAGGGGAUGCCGCUAAUAGGAUGACUAGAAGUGGGAUAGCUGUCAUCAGCACAUUUGAGAGCACACAAGAGUGUGUUUCAAACAGAUGCAGGAGCUGUGACAAGCAGCCAUUACUGACACAAAGAGACGGAGACCAUUAGCAAGUCCCUGAGGAGAAGAGGCAGAGUGAGCAGCCGGAGGAAACAAGGAGCCUAUUGGUACAAUGCCUGUGUGUUCUCAUUAAUUAUUCCUUCAGUGUAUGCACAGAUUAAAGUGAGCGAAAGAUGAUGACAGUUUGUCAAAAAUGACUGCGUGUCUGUGUUGGGACACAAUCUCCAUCCCGAUCCCCACGUGCACCCCCACCCUUCAAUUAAUAAUAAUAAUAAUGGUGUGUGUCUCCCGAUGUGUGUAUCAGAGAACAAGCGAGCCAGAGCACAGUGAAACCUUUUUACACAUUUGUAUGUUUUCCGUUCCAUAGGGCCCACAUACCAUCCCUCACUAACCCUCAUUCCCUAAACCUCCUUCACUAACCAUCCUUCACUAACCCUCCUUCACUAACCAUCCGUCUUCCUUCUUUUCACAUUUAUAGAACCUUUUAUAUCACAAAACUUGAAUCUCUUUGCUGGCGUUUUCUACUCGCUCGUUCACAGCUUUUCUUUUUGACAGUAAGGGGGCGGAGCCAGUUGCGAUGAUAUCUCAUCUAAUUGGUUAUAAACCUUGUCUUUGGAUUGGCUGGAGAUGUGCGUUCCCAGAACUGUAGAAGCCACAUUUCCACACGAAAGAAAAGGGAUAGAAAGCCAAAAUUAUGAGAAAAGAUUUUUCAAACUUGAAAUUUUUGAAAAAUGAAAAUAAUCUAUUCAAAAUAAAAAUAAAUGGACGAAAAGUAUUUUCAGGUUGACUCAGUUUUAUAAUUUUUUUAAAUACAUUUUUUUUUUCAAUCUUUGUUAUGUUUUUAUAUUCGCUGUAUGGUUGCAGAUUUUAUUCGGUUUUCAGAUUGAAAUCUUAUAUUUUCAAGUUCACAUUCGGAUCGUUUUUUUUCUCACAUUCAGACUUUUGACCCUGACGUGGCGUAGGGGGCGGGGCAUCAACUGAGAGGGGCAUGUUGAUUGAUCAACGCAGCUCAGUCAGUGCUAAUCGACCCCUGGCACCGACACACAUUUGGUGUUUGUAUGUGAUGCACCCACACAGACAGAGGGAGGCCACACAAGGCCAGCUCUGAUGAAGACGCUGCGUAACAGGGCGUGCGGUGGAGGACACAAACGCAGAGAGGUCAGGAGCGAGGGAUGGUCAUAUAUCAAAAAGAAACACAACUAACAAAACCAAACAGGGCAGAGCUUUCCACAAAAUAGCACCGCACAACACCUCAAUUCACACAAUGGAUGAACCAACAAUGAGACAUGAAACACCCACGGGUUAAAUACACAGCGAAGGUGCAGGUGAUCACACACGGUUGGAUACAAUCAGGAAAGAGGCACACAAUUAAAAGUGUUCACUUUGAAUCAUAUUAGGGAAGGACGGGAAGUGAGGCAAGGAAGCACAUGCAAUGCUUGAAAAAUAAUUGCCCCAUUCCUGGAAUCUGUUUUUUUUUGCAUUUGUCACAUUGGAUUUUUUAUAUAAUCAAAAAAAUGUCAAUAUUGAAAAAAGAACCAGAGAGUUUAAAUGCAUUUUGAUGGUUUAAUUUAUUAUGGGGGGGAAAACUCUAUUCAAACUUACCUGGCCUUAUGUGAAAAAGCAAUUGCCCCCUCACCCAUUAAGGCAGUUGUAUCCCCCUUUGGGGCAACAACCGCGUAAAUCAUUUGCAAUAAACGGCAAUGGGAAUUUCACAUUGCUGUGGAGCAAUACUGUCCCACUCUUCUUUGCAUAAUUGUUUUAAUUCAGCCACAUUGGAACAGAAAGUUAUGUUUAGGCAACAAAACCACUAAAUUGAGUUUAGGAAAAGUGCGUUGCAAGAUUAGCCUGACUAAAAAGGGACACAAACUCUGCGUGAAAGACUCUUUUUCUGUCUCUUAUAGCAAGUCCAUUGUUCUUAGCGUCUGAUACUAACACCAGUUAGUACAUUGGAGUAAUUUGAAUUGGUAUGUGACUCAUAAAGAAGAUAAUAAAGCAUGCCGUUAAGGAGUUGGGAACGGGAAGGGGUUAAGUAUAAUUAUAGAGUAGAUUGAAUGUAUUCAUUUAUGAAUCUCUGAUUGUGGGGAGGAAGUAAAUACUGUAAGCAUAGUGGGCAAUAGUCCUAUCAAAUGUUGAUCUUAAGUAGAACGUCGUCCAUUCCCAAUCAUUGACAAGAUUCAGUUUGUUGGAAAAUAUAAACUUUUUAUGCUAAAUGCUGCACAUGAAGAUAACAAUGCAUUAGAAAAAAAUUAAGUACAAUAAUAAAGUAGUUGUAAUAAAAAGGAUAAAGGUGAACUGGCUAAAUAAAUGAUUGGGGGUGAGGGAGAGGAAAGGAGGCAGGGAACCAGCGAAGGAGAUGGAGGUAGCAGUGAGGACUAGGAAGGGAGGGGGUGAUUGUUACUGGGGCCUUGGAGGUUUCCAAUUUCUCUUUUUUUUCAGUUCCCUGCUCACAUGCAGAAUGAAGCUCU
ensembl:lncRNA